rnacentral:lncRNA from 1 species
AUUAGAGCAUAUAAGAACAACAUCAUGAACAAAGCAUCGACGCAGUGACAUUGUAUCCAUGGAUAUUUUAGAGAUAAGACAACUUAUUUCUUCCAAUAAGAAGUUAGAUUGUCGUCUCUGGUUUGACAAAGAUGCCAAUGGCGUCGAGGUAGUGUCCAGCUCUUCCGUGGAAUCCAACCACCGUAUUAUUAUUUAUCGGGAUGGAGAAAGGAGUGCCAGAACCGGUUCCAAAAGGUCCAUAAGUAGCCCUAUUUGUAGUGAAUGACAGCGAUGUGAUCGUUAAUAAAGUGCUGAAAUUGCCAUAUGUCCCACUUAUGGAUAUCAGGUGUUCAGAAGGCCAGUUAAUAAGAACCUGCAAAUAAUGCAAAGCAAAAUACGUGAACUAUAGAUAUAUUUUAAUUAGUAGUUUAUGAACCAUAAAUGCCUUGUUGUUUCAAUAAUUGUUUUCCAUACAUGAAACAAUAGUCCUGAAUAAAAUUUGACGGGACUGGGACAAUCAGAAUCCUAGCCCGUCCCAUGUAUAUAUAUAUGCCAAGCUCGAACAAAUUUUUUUAAAAAAUUGACAAUUCAAACGGCAAAAAACAUGAUGCAUGAUAAUUUUCUUCUUUUGAAAUAUUUUCUAUCGAAAAACCUUAACACACCACAAGGGGGAAUACUUACAGUUUUCCUUUCACCAAUGUCAUUGGGGUUGUUGCCUCCGAAUGUUGCAGAAUCCAAGUCAGUUGUGUCCCGGAAAGAUAUAGACUUAAUGUUUGAUCCUACAUUGAUGACUAUCUGGUUUAUACCUUGAUUUGUCAUGUAACUCCAUGGAUUCCCACCUUGGCCUCCCCAUGGACCUAUUGAGAUAGUUCCUUCUAUGUCCCUCUGCAUCAUUACCAAUAACCAAAGUUACGGAGUUUUUUUUUUUUUUCUAACCGGGAUUCAAACUACCCUUCAAAAUAAUUUUUUUUUCUUAAAAAAAACUUUACAGGUUUCACAUGGAUGCCAAUUGCAUCAAGGUAGUGGCCGCCUCUUCCAUGAAAUCCAAUCACGACAGAACCUUCAAUUGGUACGGAGAAAGAAGUGCCGGUAGCAGUUCCGAAAGGUCCAUGUGUAGUGAGAUUAGUUAUGAAUGAUAGUGAUGUGAUCACCACAAUUCCAGCAUAAUUUCCAUAUGUCCCAGUUAUGGAUGUUAGAUGCUCUGAAAGCCCGUCGAUCUCGAUCUACACAGAAGUUGCAUCAUAGAAUAUAGUAUUAGCGUAGCUAAAUUAGGAAAUGCUUCGUUUGAUUUGCUAUCCUGUGCAAGCCAUAAAUGCCAUACUCACUCUUCUUUCUUCACCAGUGUCAUUAGCAUUAUUGCCGCCAAAUUUUCCGUACUCUUGGUCAUUGCCGUCUUUGAAAGAGAGGGACUUGAUAUUGGUUCCUUCAUGAACAAUUAUCUCUUUUAUCCAGCUUCCCACCCUAAAACUAAAAGGAUCUCCACCUGGACCACCCCAUUGCCCAACUGAAAUGCUUCCAUGUGAAUUUGCCUGCACGGAAAGCAAUAUUCAUAGUCAAUUAUUUCUGUUGUUACUAGCCAUAUGGCUCGACUCACCUGCAUUGCAACACUUGGGCGAAUGUCUCAAAACCCAAAAGGAUACAUGUCUAAGAAAUACUAGACGAGGCUGUAAAAUGUCACAGCAAAAUGGCGUACUGAUAUACAUAUAGAAGAGGACGCUAGCUUAAAAGAGAACAAUAUUCAUAAAAUCCAUCUUUAUUCAUCCGAAGAGAAGUGAAAUUUUAAGACUCAGCCGAGGACGCCUACUUCAAAAGAAAACAAGCCACAAUAAUAACCAUAUUUACUGAUAAAAUAUAGUUGAAUGAACUUACCGGUGUCACAAAAAUACCAAGUGCAUCAAGGUAGUAACCACAUCUCCCAUGGAAGCCAACCACGGCUCUAUCUGCUAUCGGGAUAGAGAAAGUUUCACCAGGAGCUGUUCCGAAAGGUCCAUAUGUAGUGAGAUUUGUAAUGAACGAUAGGGAAGUGAUCACUAAUAGUCCUUUGUAGCUUCCAUAAGUUCCGCUUAUAGAUUUCAAAUACUCUGAAGGCCAUUGGAUCUCAAUCUAUACAAAACACAACGCGCGCAUAAAAUAAAAGGUAAGUGCUGCUGAUCUAUUAAUAUUUUUAUUUAUUUUUUUAAGGCACAACGUAUUAAAAUUAUAAAGGGAAAUGAAGUACAAAAACAUUCAGCGAGAAACAGAGAUAAAAACCCCAAAACAGAGAUAAAAAGGAUAAAAAACCCAAAAAGAAAAACAUAACAGACAGAUUAUAAAGGAUCUACAAAAAUGCUACCAAGUCAGCAAUACGAUUUUGCCAAUCCAUCAGCUAUGGAACUAGCCUCCCUGUAAAUGUAUUAAUAUAUGAAUAGCUAAGUCACCUUUUUCUGUUCACCCCUGUCAUUAGGGUCGUUGCCCCUGCCACCGAAUGUCCCAGAAACCAGGCCACUGGCAUCUUUGAAGGAAAUGGACUUGAUAUUUCCUUCUACAUGGAGGACUAUCUCAGUUAUCCCACCGCUUGCCCUGUAACUCCAGUGGUCUCCACCUAAACCUCCCCAUGGUCCCAAUGAAAUGAUUCGUUCCAAGGAUGCCUGAGAACAAACCAGUAGUCAUCAUCAAAACCCAUAUAUCUAUUAGCAUGUGAUGAAAAUAUACCUUAGAUAGUUUCAUACCAUUUGCUUAGUUGAAUGUUGGAAUGUAUCUGUCGUUUAUGUGGUGGUUAAUGUAAUUGUGUGGGAGGUAUAUAUAGACAGAUUAGAAACGGAGGGAGGUAUAUAUAGACAGAACAAGAAAAAACUUUCCCUUUCUUUGCGAGUUUUAGUAACGAGAGAAUUUUUUAUUUUUAUCAACCUUUUAAAAUCCUUCAAAAGCCUUCUUUUCUUUAAGUUACUCCAAUGUUAGAGGGUUUUGGAGGAAAACCUUAUUAUUUUAUAAGUAUGCUUUUAAUUAUUUGUCAAAAUUUUCUUAAUAAGGAAAUUAAAUCCUAAACUAACAUAAAUUCAAUUUGUGCAAAACAUUAUUACUCCCUCGAGAAAAAAAGAAUGAUUAAGUGUUUUACCUUCCAUUUUCUUUCCCUUGUUUAUUUCAAAUAUCCAAACAAUGAGAAGAAAAACGUGCAAAAUAUUGCAAUCCGAUAAAGACAGAAACUUUUUUGAUAUUGAUAAAAAAAUUACAUUACAUCUGUUAUUGUAGGAAAACGUGCAAUAUAAACUUUAAUAAUGCAAUCCAAAAAUUUAUUUGUCACGGACCACUACAGCAUAUAUAAGACAAUUAGCAUUGUCUAAGACUUAUUUCUUACGUGGUUGCAAACAAAAUUUGUCAUAUAUUGAAUUGUUCAUUGAAUGGAAUAUAUUCCCUGUUCGCAUAUAGUACGUGUGAGUUUUUCUAUAAGAAUAUAUUUUUUGAUAUUGACAAAAAAUUAUAUUACAUCUGUUAUUGUAGGAAAACGUGCAAUAUAAACUACAGCAUAUGACAAUUCUAAGAUUUAUCGUCAGAAAGAAAGAUUUCUUACAUGUUACUAGAUGGUAAAACUUGAGUGGUACAUAUAUUAUUGAUAUAAAGAGACUUGCAAGAGUGUUAAAUAUAGUGAUCGAUGGAACACAAUUUGGAUUAAUUUGAUAUUAAAAACGAUAAGAAAAACUUAGAUUAUUAUGGUAAUAAGAGAAUUUUACAAGGCGUUUGAGGGUGUCAUCACUCAUCACUGAUAUUGGUGUCUUUUGUCAAUUAGAUAAAAUGAUGAAUGGAAAAGAUUCCAUAUGAAACCUUGACUCGUAAGGGAAGUGAUCAGAGUGUUCUCGAAAGAAGAAAGAUUUCUUCAAAGGUGGACUAUAGGCUUUAGAAAUAUAGUACUCCGUAUAAUUCGCAUAUAGUAGCUGUGAAAUUUUCUAUUUCAAUAUAUUUUCUUGAUAAUGGUAGAAAAAUCUGUCAUACUGGAAGAAAAACGUGCAAUAAGGCAAUCCAAUAAGGACAAGAAACUAUGUUUAUCGACCCAAUAGAGUGAAGGAUUCAUUGAAUGGAAUGUAUUCCCUGUUCGCAUAUUGUACUUGUGAGUUUUUCUAUCAGAAUAUAUUUUUUGAUAUUGAUAAUUGGCACUAUUUUCCAAACCACGCUUGUAUUUAUCAUUAUUCUAGAUGUAUGUGGUCCAAAAAGACAAACUGUUCCUGCAUGUGAAUGAGAAGGAUAAAUCAUUGUAUGAGAAAUUACUCCACGUGCUUUCUCUUCCUAGUUUUUCAGUCUAUAUAUACAUCCCAAUACCAUUACAGAAACUGCAUAGCUUGAGGAGAUUCAACACCCAACAGAUUCGACUAAGCAAAUAGAAAAGCGAUUUAUCCAAGGUACUUUUCACAGUGUAAUAUUCUUGUAACACCUACGUUGUAUUAAUAUUGUUACUUUGUUUAUGGUUCCGAGUUCGACAAUGUGAAGUUUAUGACGUACCUUGUGAUGUCCUGCUCUCUCCUGUUCUUUUAAUUGUUACUAGUUCUUCUUUUCGAUUAUGAAUGGCAUUUAAUUAAUCUUCAACAUCUUGGUUAGAACUGUCAUUGACUUCUUUUGUCUUGGCUGUAAAUUGCAACUGAUUGAACUUUAAUUUAUCUCAUUGCACAAGCAAUUUGAUCAAAGACAAUGCCGGUGGAGUUUGAGAUGGAGAUCAAUGUUCAAACCAGCACCAGGGGAGGUUAUCGAGAUUUCAUUGAGAAACUGCGUGAUCGAUUGGGAGUGAGAUUUUCCCACAAUCGUCCUGCACUUGCUGUUCAAGAGGAGCCACCCACUCGAUUCUUCGAUUUGGUAAUACGAACCAACGAUCACUCUGUGAGGUUCAGGUUGCGAAUGGAUAACCUGUACUUGAUUGGCUACCAGAUGGAGAACGGGCAGUGGUUGGAGUUCAACAACGAAACCGGUGUGCAUCUAAUUCGAGAACAAGGAACCGAAUUCCUAGGCUUCAAUGGUAGCUACAAUAUGUUAUCAAAUGUUGCUGGCCUGAGUAUGGAGGAAGUAAGAGUUGGCUUCUACAACCUAGGGUACGGUAUAAAUCAGCUUGCUACAUCGACAACUUGGAAGAUUAGGGCACGUUAUCUGAUUGGUGUGAUUAUGAUGAUCUGCGAAUCAACCAGACUAAUUCCUAUAUCCGACUAUAUGGCUACCAAUUUUGACAACUCGCAUGGCACUAGCUCUGAUGAUUAUAAUAAUUAUGACAAUCGUAACCGAGAAGGCCAGAUCCAACCUUGGAUUACUACCUUAGUUCGUGCUUGGGACGCUUUCUCUGCAGCUUUGUUGCGUGCUGAUGCUUACCCAGAUGAAUCGUUUCAACUUCGAAGAAAUGUCGUGCGGCUUCCACCAGAUAACAGGGAAAUAAGAACUAUUUCCCAAGCUGCAGCAAUACUUGGCAUCUUGUUGGGACUUUGCUUCAGGAACAGUGGACAAAGAAGGUUCCCACGCAUGACCUUUGAUGAAGGACAAUGCUUUUUGGGCCUACCACUUGUGGAAGUGUUCUCGGUGAGCAUUGAUAACAUAGAUGGAGAGGAUCCCGGACAACUAUAUGGCACAAUCACAGUCGACGAUGGACUAAAUAUAGAGUACAUCUACAACCGCACAAGCAGCAACCCAGAAUCCAUCAAGCCAGGUCAAAAUGCUUCGCUAACUGGACCAUCUCAAUCCAUCCUUGCCAUCGGGAACUUUACCAUCAAAUUGCUUCUCACUGAUAUGUUGGGGAAUUCCGGCUCUCCCAUGCGCGGACCGGGGGUGUACUGAUAGUUGCUCAUCGGAGGAUUAAAGCACACUGACACAAUAUUUUACGUGGUUCGGCAAAACCGCCUACAUCCACGGGAGAGUCCAUAUUAUUAGAGAUAUAUAGAGAAAGGAUUACAACAUACAUGGAGGAGGAGGAUCACUUCACUCAAACUCAACUCCCAGCUCUUUUGCUGCACUUGCAGCUGCUGCAAUGGCAGCAGCCAUUACAGCUCUCUCUUUCUCUCCACUCUCUUGCACACACUCACGUUCUCUCUCAACCCUCUCACUUUGCUCUCAAAUAAUUGCCUUUUUUAUAGGCAAACAUGGUGAGCCCCUCCAGCACAUUUGUCAACAUGGAGGGGUCAACAAAGCCUUAAACCAUGACAUGAAUUGUGGCACAAUUCAUGCUUCCACUUGCUUGGUGGUGGGGUAUUGCCACAAAUGGCAAUAUCCUAACAAUCACCCCCUUUACCAUUUGGACAAUUGCCCACACAAAUGGCAAAGGGGGUGAUUGUUAAACCUCUAAUAAUUUGGUCAUAUUAAAAUAACUAACUUUCAUGGAAGGUCGAAACAAAUUCCCCAGGGAUUUGAAUAAAUUUAACGCAAAGAAAAGGGAGUCAAUGUAGAAUUUUUUGAAAGGACAUUGAUACAAGGAUGGAUUUGAUUUUUAUACAAAAGUUUGGAAAGAGGCAACCACACGCUGACUGCAUUUAUGACGAGAAACAUCACAACUUUCCCAUCUAUAUAUAUGUUUAUUUUUUUAUCUUUAUUAUUUAAAAUAAAUAAAUUUUAUAUCAUUAGCCAAUAAAUUUUUUUAAUUAAAUAAAAUAAUUAAAUUACUCUAUUAUAUAAUAUAUCAAAAAUUCAUAAACAACAAAGAUCUCUUUUUCUUUCUGUGUCUUCAUCUUUAUUUUUUGUUCCAACCCUUUUUUUUCUUGAUUUGAAAAGAGAAAAAAAAAAGAAAUUAAAGAAGAAGAAGAGAGAAAGUAAAAAAAAAUAUUAAGAAAAGGUAUUUAAAUAGUGAUUAAAUGACCAUUUAACACCACAUUUCUAUGUGUUAGCCCGUCGCUAGACCUGAAGAGGGUCCGCACCUCGACCCGCAACUAGCUAUAUAUCCAUCUAUUUUAUUUCAUUUAUUUACAAAAUUGCUAUUGAUUUUUUUAUUUUAUUUUGUAAUUAAAAAUAGAAAUAUAUAUAUAUAUAUAUAUAUAUAUAUAUAUAUAUAAUUUUUAAAAGAAAUAAAAUCAAGAAGAAAAGGAAAGAGAAAAGAAAAAUAGUGAAGUGAAAAAAAAAAGGAAAAAAGAAGAAAAAGACGAAGAUAGGAAAUUGGUGAAUUUCCAUUUUAAGUGUGAAAGCUUUAUUUUUUGAAAGACAGAUCCAAUACCACCCCAUCCCCUAUCUUUUUCUUUCACCACUGUUUUCCAAGCCAACUUGUGGAUUUUCCUAUUGUCAUUGCUGUGAUCUUUUGAGCUACUGAUUUAUUAGUUUAUUCUUUUAUUUCUUUGUUGUUAAUUUUCAUCAUUUUUCUUGGUCUUUUUAUUUUAUAAAUAAUAAUGCUAAUAAUAAUAAUAAUAAUAAUAACAACAACAACAAUAUUAAUAACAAUAAAUAAAUAAUACUAUUAAUAUUUUAAUGUCAACAAUAAUAAAACCAAAUCAUCGACGACGGAUCUCGUAGCAUUUCCUCACUUGGUUUAGAAUUGAUAAAUGGCUCUGUUUAUCUGCAUUUUUGGUAGAAUUUAUCCCUGAUUUUUUACCAGGUAAGGAUCUUUUAUUAUGGUAGUCUCUGUAUAAAUAACUCCCGAUUUACAAGAAUUAGAACCUCCCAAGAAACUAAUGCGCUUGAAAGGAAAAUCAAAUUUUCACUACUAAAGGGAUUUCAACCACUGAUAGGGUUUACAUUAUCCCUGCUUUUAUUCAAAGUCGCAAUAUUUAUUGAUACAUGAUACAACGAAGCAUCAAGAAACCUAGCACAUCAGAGAGCUAUCAAAGCCCUCGUAAACAACACUAAGAAACAACAAACACACAUUUAUUUCGGUACAUUAUUAGAGCAUAUAAGAACAACACCAUGAACAAAGCAUCGACGCAUUGACAUUGUAUCGAUGGAUAUUUUAGAGAUAAGACAACUUAUUUCUUCCAAUAAGAAGUUAGAUUGUCGUCUCUGGUUUGACAAAGAUGCCAAUGGCGUCGAGGUAGUGUCCAGCUCUUCCGUGGAAUCCAACCACCGUAUUAUUAUUUAUCGGGAUGGAGAAAGGAGUGCCAGAACCGGUUCCAAAAGGUCCAUAAGUAGCCCUAUUUGUAGUGAAUGACAGCGAUGUGAUCGUUAAUAAAGUGCUGAAUUUGCCAUAUGUCCCACUUAUGGAUAUCAGGUGUUCAGAAGGCCAGUUAAUAAGAACCUGCAAAUAAUGCAAAGCAAAAUACGUGAACUACUUUAAUUAGUAGUUUAUGAACCAUAAAUGCAAACGGCAAAAAAAUCGAAAAAAUUUUAAAAAUUUUUGACAAUACAAACUGCAAAAAAACAUUCUUAGAUAAUUUUUUCCUUUAGAAAUAUUUUCUAUCAAAAAACUUAACACACCACA